rnacentral:rRNA from 1 species
UACGAAGGGGGCUAGCGUUGCUCGGAAUCACUGGGCGUAAAGCGCACGUAGGCGGAUCUUUAAGUCAGGGGUGAAAUCCUGGAGCUCAACUCCAGAACUGCCUUUGAUACUGAGGAUCUCGAGUCCGGGAGAGGUGAGUGGAACUGCGAGUGUAGAGGUGAAAUUCGUAGAUAUUCGGCAAGAACACCAGUGGCGAAGGCGGCUCACUGGCCCGGUACUGACGCUGAGGUGCGAAAGCGUGGGGAGCAAACAGG